rnacentral:rRNA from 1 species
UUCGGUAUGUAAAGUUCUUUUAUCAAGGAAGAAAAGCAAAUGGCGAACCAUUUGUUUGCCGGUACUUGAUGAAUAAGCCCCGGCUAAUUAUGUGCCAGCAGCCGCGGUAAGACAUAAGGGGCAAGUGUUAUCCGGAAUUAUUGGGCGUAAAGGGUGCGUAGGCGGUCUAGUAAGUCAGUGGUGUAAUGGCAACGCUUAACGUUGUCCGGCUAUUGAAACUGCUAAACUUGAGUUAGAUAGAGGCGAGUGGAAUUCCAUGUGUAGCGGUAAAAUGCGUAAAUAUAUGGAGGAACACCAGAGGCGUAGGCGGCUCGCUGGGUCUUAACUGACGCUGAGGCACGAAAGCGUGGGGAGCAAACAGGAUUAGAUACCCUGGUAGUCCACGCCGUAAACGAUGAGUACUAAGUGUCGGGUUAAACCGGUACUGAAGUUAACACAUUAAGUACUCCGCCUGAGUAGUACGUACGCAAGUAUGAAACUUAAAGGAAUUGACGGGACUCCGCACAAGCGGUGGAUCAUGUUGUUUAAUUCGAAGAUACCCGAAAAACCUUACCAGGUCUUGACAUGUUUUUGCAAAAUGAUAGUAAUAUCGUGGAGGUUACCAGAAACACAGGUGGUGCAUGGUUGUCGUCAGCUCGUGUCGUGAGAUGUUAGGUUAAGUCCUAAAACGAGCGAAACCCUUAUCGUUAGUUGCCAGCACGUUAUGGUGGGGACUUUAACGAGACUGCCAAUGAUAAAUUGGAGGAAGGUGAGGAUCACGUCAAAUCAGCAUGCCCCUUAUG